GGCCCCGCCCCCUCGUCUCGCGCUCCGGAGCUUCCCGGGUUCCUCUCGCGUCACCACAGGGAGCGCUCGGCUGACGGAGAAGCUCCGGGAUUUUGAAAGAAGUGCUGUGGGAGAAGAGGUGAAGGAAGAAGUGACUCCGUCUGCCAUCUGCAUCCAGGAAGCUAAGAGAUGACUCUGAACUAGAUCUUCAAGGAUGAGCACAUGUCUUGUCAGCUUAUGAAGAGGAAAAUAGCAUUCCUGGCAGAAAUAAGAGUAUAUGUUCACCAUCUAAGGAUGCAAGAAGCUCCAUACCUUCCCUAUGGACCCCUGUUGUUACCAGUCUAUGUGCACACUGGAUUCUGAUUUGUUUUCCUGAAACGUUGACAUCAUGUCACUCCCUUAUCCUAAAAUUUAUGAUAGCUGUCCUUGUCUGAGGGAUAAAUGUCAAAUUCUUCAACCUGGCACUCAAAAUUCUAUGUUUUUGUUUGACUAUGAAAAUACUUAUUAAAACCAAUCCUCAAAGUC